rnacentral:tRNA from 1 species
UGGGGUAUAUCUCAGUGAUAGAGCACUUGCCUAGAAUGCAUGAGACCCUGGGUUCAAAUUCCAGUAUUGCAA